CCAGGAAGCACACCUUCAGGAAACACCAUUUCUGUGCUAGUCCAAAGGGCACCAUCCACCUGGACCAGAAUGUGAGAUGCCCUUUGGAGUUGCACAGAGGUCCUGCCUCUUUCCACCUGCACUGCUGUCACCCUGGCCCGGCCGCCACCCUCUCACUGUAUUUCUGCAGCUGAGACCUAGGCCUUAUGCAAGGGAAGGCCCAGGCCAGGAGGGGCCUCACAGCAAGAGUGAAGGAUGCCGGUGAGGUUUGGGGAUUUACCUUAAACAGGCAGUAGGGGCAUUCCGGGUAGAAGGCGGGGGGAGGUCCCUUUCUAAGUAGGGGUGGGAGUAAGAGAAAAAGAUUUCUAUAUGCUUCAGGCAAUAGGUCUGUGCUUUAUUGAAACAAUCCUUCCUCCUGUGAAUAAUAUAAUCUGACAUUUAGGGGGAUGGGAGGAAAUGGCUGGAUGGGUCCCCGGAGCGCCGCUGACGUGAUUUCAGCCGUUAGCAUUUUUUCUCCACAGCUUGGACAAAAGAGGAGGGUGGAAGACUGGAUGCCACUGAGAAGCCCUUCCAUGCCCAGGAGCUGGUGCGGCAUGAACUUUGGGAGGCCCCAGAGCCUCUGACCCCCCUUCUAAACCAGCACCGUAUUCUGAUUGGCUGUCUCUGCCUGCCUCGGUUUAUUCUUCUUACUGAUCGACCACCUCCUUCCACCGUGUCAGAUCUCUGUUCCUACUGGGCCAGUCCCCCCACCUGCCACAGGGUCACCCGGGAUGGCCCGGGUUCUGCAAGGCCUCGACGGCUUGCCUCUUGCCACCAUCAGAUUCUUCCUCAUUAAACAAAUGAAUCACAAUCCUAAUUAAUUUGAGCAACAGAAUUUAUGUAACUACUCCCAGCAGGAUGUCUGCUCUCAGUCGGUAGCAAGAUUAAUUCCUCUCUCUGGGAAAUUCCAGCCGUGCUGGUCAAUAAAGCUUUAAUGAUGA
rnacentral:lncRNA from 1 species